rnacentral:rRNA from 1 species
AGGACGAACGCUGGCGGCGUGCUUAACACAUGCAAGUCGAGCGGAAAGGCCCUUCGGGGUACUCGAGCGGCGAACGGGUGAGUAACACGUGAGUAAUCUGCCCCUAGCUCUGGGAUAGCUCCGGGAAAACCGGGAUUAAUACCAGAUACGACCACUUUAGACAUCUUCUGUGGUGGAAAGAACUUCGGCUAGGGAUGAACUCGCGGCCUAUCAGCUUGUUGGUGAGGUAACGGCUCACCAAGGCGACGACGGGUAGCCGGCCUGAGAGGGCGACCGGCCACACUGGGACUGAGACACGGCCCAGACUCCUACGGGAGGCAGCAGUGGGGAAUAUUGCGCAAUGGGCGAAAGCCUGACGCAGCGACGCCGCGUGGGGGAUGAAGGCCUUCGGGUUGUAAACCCUUUCAGCAGGACGAAGCGAAAGUGACGGUAUCUGCAGAAGAAGCGCCGGCUAACUACGUGCCAGCAGCCGC